GGGGACGUAAUUUAACUGGCAAAAUAACUGAAUUCCGACCUAGUUAAUGCGGGUUCGAUUCCCGUCGUCUCCA
rnacentral:tRNA from 1 species